rnacentral:lncRNA from 1 species
UCGCACCAUGGUUUUUCAUUUCGUUUUAGGUGUGUGCAACAAUUCUUAGGUACCGGUAGCAUAACACGAACCUGAUGGACUUGUGGUCUCAUGGACUAAAAAGCCUAGUAUUGACUGUAGAAGCCUAGUAAUCAGAGUUUAAGUUUUGUGUGUUUAGCAGUGAUGCACGUGCAACAAGGUGGUCUGAAGUCUAUCAUUGAGCGCUAUGCUCAAUCUCGUUUCUGUAAGAGUCGGGUAAUGUGGUGCUAAGCGUCCUUGUAGUUUGAUUUUGUUUGCUAUUGUCUGGUCAAAGCUGUGUCUUUGUAGUCGGAAGAAGAUCUAGCACACUUUUGUUGAAACACUAUGUUGUGCAAGAUGAAGCAGGAAGAUAUUUUCCUUUUCAGGCGAAGCAAUCAACCAUGCUCAUUUAAAUUGUAGCUAAUGAACCAUGAGUUCGUUGUUGAUAGAAAAAACUUAGAAAGGUUUAAUCUGAGCUGGAGUUUAGCCAUCCAUGGGUUAAAGAUGAGGUGUUUUAACCAGGAAAAAAGGGGUGUGUACUUGGUAGUGAAGACAUAUUAGGCCAUGGAUGCAAAACUGAAGUAGCGAUGUAGUACAUGCAUAUUCUUAGUGUUCCUCUGUGUAAUUAUUCUCAGGGAACCAGAAAAGAAAGACAAAUCUCAGCAACUCACCAUUUUCUACGGAGGGAAGGUGCUGGUGUUCAACGACUUCCCCGCCGACAAGGCAAAGGACCUGAUGCAGCUGGCCAGCAAGGGCAGCCCAGUGGUUCAAAACGUUGGUUUGCCUCAG